GGGGCGCUGUGAGAUGCGUUAUGCGUGCAUUUCCCUGGGGCCGAUAUAUUCUUUUAGGGAACUGUCUCUGCCUUUAUCUGUGGAUUUAGGCAUAUGGUACCCACCUGCUUAUGCGGGCCACACGAGGAUAUUUAAUCGCAAACGAUCGUUGCGGCGUCCUU
rnacentral:other from 9 species